UACGAAGGGGGCUAGCGUUGUUCGGAAUCACUGGGCGUAAAAGGCGCGUAGGCGGCUGUUCAAGUCGGGGGUGAAAUCCCGUGGCUCAACCACGGAAUGGCCUUCGAUACUGGACGGCUCGAGACCGGAAGAGGUGAGUGGAACUGCGAGUGUAGAGGUGAAAUUCGUAGAUAUUCGCAAGAACACCAGUGGCGAAGGCGGCUCACUGGUCCGGUUCUGACGCUGAGGCGCGAAAGCGUGGGGAGCAAACAGG
rnacentral:rRNA from 1 species